UGGGGAAUUUUGGACAAUUGGGCGAAAGCCUGAUCCAGCAAUGCCGCGUGUGUGAAGAAGGCCUUCGGGUUGUAAAGCACUUUUGUCCGGAAAGAAAUCCUCUGGGUUAAUACCUCGGGGGAGUGACGGUACCGGAAGAAUAAGCACCGGCUAACUACGUGCCAGCAGCCGCGGUAAUACGUAGGGUGCAAGCGUUAAUCGGAAUUACUGGGCGUAAAGCGUGCGCAGGCGGUUUUGUAAGGCGGAUGUGAAAUCCCCGGGCUUAACCUGGGAACUGCAUUCGUGACUGCAAGGGCUAGAGUAUGGCAGAGGGGGGUAGAAUUCCACGUGUAGCAGUGAAAUGCGUAGAGAUGUGGAGGAAUACCGAUGGCGAAGGCAGCCCCCUGGGCCAAGUACUGACGCUCAUGCACGAAAGCGUGGGGAGCAAACGGAUUAAUACCCCUGGUAGUCCACGCCCUAAAANGAUGUCAACUAGUUGUUGGGGAUUCAUUUUCCUUAGUAACGUAGCUAACGCGUGAAGUUUGACCGCCUGGGGGAGUACGGUCGCAAGAUUAAAACUCAAA
rnacentral:rRNA from 1 species